rnacentral:rRNA from 1 species
CGCGGGAUUAGAGUUUGAUCCUGGCUCAGAAUCAACGCUGGCGGCGCGCUUAACACAUGCAAGUCGCACGAGAAAGUGGAGCAAUCCAUGAGUAAAGUGGCGUACGGGUGAGUAACACGUGGAUCAUCUACCCUUUAGUGGGGAAUAACCCUGGGAAACCGGGGCUAAUACCGCAUAAUCCUGGGAAGGGAAAGCAGCAAUGCGCUGAAGGAGGAGUCCGCGGCCGAUUAGCUAGUUGGUAGGGUAACGGCCUACCAAGGCGAUGAUCGGUAGCCGGCCUGAGAGGGCACACGGCCACACUGGCACUGAAACACGGGCCAGACUCCUACGGGAGGCAGCAGUGGGGAAUCUUGCACAAUGGAGGAAACUCUGAUGCAGCGACGCCGCGUGAGCGAUGAAGCCCUUCGGGGUGUAAAGCUCUUUCGGCAGGGACGAUAAUGACGGUACCUGAAGAAGAAGCUGCGGCUAACUACGUGCCAGCAGCCGCGGUAAUACGUAGGCAGCGAGCGUUGUUCGGAAUUACUGGGCGUAAAGAGUGUGUAGGCGGUUUUCCAAGUUUGGUGUGAAAUCUCCCGGCUUAACUGGGAGGGUGCGCCGAAAACUGGGAGGCUUGAGUGCCGGAGAGGAUAGCGGAAUUCCUGGUGUAGCGGUGAAAUGCGUAGAUAUCAGGAGGAACACCUGCGGUGUAGACGGCUAUCUGGACGGCCACUGACGCUGAGACACGAAAGCGUGGGUAGCAAACAGGAUUAGAUACCCUGGUAGUCCACGCCCUAAACGAUGCAUACUUGGUGUGAGCCAUUCAUUUGGUUCGUGCCGGAGCUAACGCGUUAAGUAUGCCG